rnacentral:tRNA from 1 species
AAAUAGGUCAGCUAAAUUAGGAAGCUGUUGGGCCCAUAACCCAAAAAUGGAUUUAUUCCCCUGUUUG